UGGGGAAUAUUGCACAAUGGGGGGAACCCUGAUGCAGCGACGCCGCGUGAGUGAAGAAGUCAUUCGUGAUGUAAAGCUCUAUCAGCAGGGAAGAAAAUGACGGUACCUGACUAAGAAGCCCCGGCUAACUACGUGCCAGCAGCCGCGGUAAUACGUAGGGGGCAAGCGUUAUCCGGAUUUACUGGGUGUAAAGGGAGCGUAGACGGCAAUGCAAGUCCGGAGUGAAAGCCCGGGGCCCAACCCCGGGACUGCUCUGGAAACUGUAGAGCUAGAGUGCGGGAGGGGCAGGCGGAAUUCCUAGUG
rnacentral:rRNA from 1 species